UUGGACUUGUACCGACUGGAUGAGCAGCGAACGGGUGAGUAACGCGUGGGGAAUCUGCCUUUGAGCGGGGGACAACAUUUGGAAACGAAUGCUAAUACCGCAUAACAACUUUAAACACAAGUUUUAAGUUUGAAAGAUGCAAUUGCAUCACUCAAAGAUGAUCCCGCGUUGUAUUAGCUAGUUGGUGAGGUAAAGGCUCACCAAGGCGAUGAUACAUAGCCCGACCCUGAGAGGGUGAUCGGGCCCACAUUUGGGGGACUGAGACACGGCCCAAACUCC
rnacentral:rRNA from 1 species